AACUCAAAGGUUAAUAGUUUAGGUAUUCAUUCUGAGUGGUUAAGGUUAGGUAUUCAUUCUGAGUGGUUAAGGUUAGGUAUUCAUUCUGAGUGGUUAAGGUUAGGUAUUCAUUCUGAGUGGUUAAGGGUAGGUAUUCAUUCUGAGUGGUUAAGGUUAGGUAUUCAUUCUGAGUGGUUAAGGUUAGGUAUUCAUUCUGAGUGGUUAAGGUUAGGUAUUCAUUCUGAGUGGUUAAGGCUAGGUAUUCAUUCUGAGUGGUUAAGGUUUGGUAUUCAUUCUGAGUGGUUAAUGUUUGGUAUUCAUUCUGAGUGGUUAAGGUUUGGUAGUCAUUCUGAGUGGUUAAGGUUUGGUAUUCAUUCUGAGUGGUUAAGGUUAUGUAUUCAUUCUGAGUGGUUAAGGUUUGGUAUUCAUUCUGAGUGGUUAAGGUUAUGUAUUCAUUCUGAGUGGUUAAGGUUUGGUAUUCAUUCUGAGUGGUUAAUGUUUGGUAUUCAUUCUGAGUGGUUAAGGUUUGGUAGUCAUUCUGAGUGGUUAAG
rnacentral:lncRNA from 1 species